rnacentral:rRNA from 1 species
UACAGAGGUCUCAAGCGUUGUUCGGAUUCAUUGGGCGUAAAGGGCGCGUAGGCGGCAGGCCAAGUCGGGAGUGAAAGCCCGGGGCUCAACCCCGGAAUGUCUUUCGAAACUGGCCAGCUUGAGUGCGGAAGAGGCAACUGGAAUUCCCAGUGUAGCGGUGAAAUGCGUAGAUAUUGGGAAGAACACCUGAGGCGAAGGCGGGUUGCUGGGACGGUACUGACGCUGAGGCGCGAAAGCGUGGGGAGCGAACAGG